rnacentral:rRNA from 1 species
GCGGACGGGUGAGGAACACGUACGAGACCUGCCCUUGGAUGGGGAAUAAGCCCUCGAAAGGGGGUCUAAUGCCGCAUACGGUCCUGGGUGUAGAGGCCUAGGAGGAAAGCCGAAAGGCGUCCGAGGAGGGGCGUGCGGCCGAUUAGCUAGUUGGUGGGGUAAGGGCCUACCAAGGCGACGAUCGGUAGCUGGUCUGAGAGGAUGGUCAGCCACACUGGGACUGAGAUACGGCCCAGACUCCUACGGGAGGCAGCAGCAGGGAAUCUUGCGCAAUGGGCGAAAGCCUGACGCAGCAACGCCGCGUGGGUGAUGAAGGCUUUCGGGUCGUAAAGCCCUUUUCUGUGGGACGAUGAUGACGGUACCGCAGGAAGAAGCCACGGCUAACUACGUGCCAGCCGCCGCGG